rnacentral:rRNA from 1 species
UACGUAGGGACCAAGCGUUGUUCGGAUUUACUGGGCGUAAAGGGCGCGUAGGCGGCGUGACAAGUCACUUGUGAAAUCUCUGGGCUUAACCCAGAACGGCCAAGUGAAACUGUUGUGCUAGAGUGCAGAAGGGGCAAUCGGAAUUCUCGGUGUAGCGGUGAAAUGCGUAGAUAUCGAGAGGAACACCUGCGGCGAAGGCGGGUUGCUGGGCCGACACUGACGCUGAUGCGCGAAAGCCAGGGGAGCGAACGGG